rnacentral:rRNA from 1 species
UACGUAGGAUGCAAGCGUUGUCCGGAAUUAUUGGGCGUAAAGAGCGCGUAGGCGGUCUAUCAAGUCAGAUGUGAAAUAUCCCGGCUUAACCGGGAGGGGUCAUUUGAAACUGGUAGACUAGAGUACAGCAGAGGAUAGUGGAAUUCCCGGUGUAGUGGUGAAAUGCGUAGAUAUCGGGAGGAACACCAGUGGCGAAGGCGGCGACCUGGGUAGAUACUGACGCUGAGGCGCGAAAGCGUGGGGAGCAAACAGG